rnacentral:rRNA from 1 species
AGAGUUUGAUCCUGGCUCAGGUUGAACGCUGGCGGCACGCUUAACACAUGCAAGUCGAACGGUAACAGGACUAGCUUGCUAGUUGCUGACGAGUGGCGGACGGGUGAGUAACGCGUAGGAACCUACCCUGGAGCGAGGGACAACUUGAGGAAACUUGAGCUAAUACCUCGUACGCUCUACGGAGGAAAGGUUGCAUUUCGGUGCAAUCGCUCUGGGAUGGGCCUGCGUUAGAUUAGCUUGUUGGUGAGGUAAAGGCUCACCAAGGCGACGAUCUAUAGCUGUUCUGAGAGGAAGAUCAGCCACACUGGGACUGAGACACGGCCCAGACUCCUACGGGAGGCAGCAGUGGGGAAUCUUGGACAAUGGGGGAAACCCUGAUCCAGCGAUGCCGCGUGUGUGAAGAAGGCUUUCGGGUUGUAAAGCACUUUAGUUGGGGAGGAUUAGGUCAGCAUUAAUAGUGUUGGCUGAAGACGUUACCCAAAGAAUAAGCACCGGCUAACUCUGUGCCAGCAGCCGCGGUAAUACAGAGGGUGCGAGCGUUAAUCGGACUUACUGGGCGUAAAGGGCACGUANGUGGAUAAUUAAGUGGAGCGUGAAAGCCCUGGGCUUAACCUGUAAUGUCGUUUCAUACUGGUUAUCUAGAGACUUGUAGAGGAAAGUGGAAUUCCCGGAGUAUCGGUGAAAUGCGUAGAUAUCGGGAGGAACAUCACUGUCUAAUGCGACUUUCU